UUCGAUUUAUGAGCUAAAACUACCAUCUACCUGAUCCGAUAGGACUAAAUCAAACAACACAAAGCACAAAAGCCAGAAAUAGCUCACACACCCUCAUGGUCCUAUUAUAAUUUGUACCUGAUGCACCAACAGUUGUAAUGUAUCCAAUAUCAUUCUCACACCUAACCUCAUACUUUCUGCUGGCAAUUUCAUAUUGGUAUUAGAUUGUAGCUGUGGUCUUACUCGGAUUUGUUUUUGUCUUAAAUUUAUGCUUUGCUUCGUUUCUCGCCUUCCAAAUCGUGAGCAUUUUUUAUGAACCAUUCCACAUAUGAAGGAAGGCAAAAUAAGAAAAGGAAUGAUCAUUCCAUUUGAACCACAUUUAAUCACCUUUGAUGAUUUCAAAUACUAUGUAGAUAUGUCACAGUUUUUAUUUUUUAGGACGAGGACUCCGAAGAGCUUGAAAACAUCAUCAUCAAAAUAGAUGACGAGAAUGUAGUUUGCACAUACAAUGAGGUCGAUGUUUACAGUUGCUGCAUUUAAAGAUUUGGUUCAUGUUGUGAAGCUUUCAAUAUCAUCUGGUGUUAUAGUCUGAGCUAUGGUACAACGCGGUGCUGGUCUUACUUGCUGGAUACAUGGCGAAUGCAGAAAUUGCCAGUUUUGCCUUUUCCAUAUGCUUGAACAUCAAUGCAUGGGAGUUUAUGAUAAGCCUCGAUUUCAAAACCGAUGCCUCUUCUCCGUUCACAAUACCGAUGUCCCAUAUGCUCAAACUCGGUGUCUUAUAUGUCUGAUACAUGGCAAAGAUUAGACCAGCAGUCAAACUAGAUUCUUGAUGCAUGAGGGAUGAUGAUAUACCUCUUGCACAUUUUGCCAUUGCAUUCAGUCAAGUAUAAUGGAGUGGUCCUUAUUCAAUUGCCUUGAUGGUCAUACAAGCAAUGCUUGGAUCAUGGAACAAGACUACAAGAGAUAGCAAGCAUACAGGCAUGAUGGCAGUGUGGCUAAAUUCUACCAGUGGCGGCGGUUUCAAACAUAAUGUUCGGGCAAUAGAGGUGUGUACCCGGCUGUCG